AUGGAAUGCAGUCACUGGAUGAGGGUACAGAGAAUCCCUGAGCAGAAUCCUGGGUGUUUGUUUCUUUCCUGUGGUCCUGCCCUGCCCAGGCCUCUGAGAAAUGCAGAGCCUUUCCUCUCCCCAUCCCUCCCUCUCCCUCAGAGGUGAUUUUGAAAGGUCUCAGCUUCUUAUGCAUACCCCUUGGGGUCAGGAGAUGAGGAUGUCAAGACUUGGAGUAGGUGACAGUUGGCCUUGGGCUUCGGUGGCCAACCCAUGACUACAAAAGCCCGAGAAGCCAGCAGCUUCCCCGGCUCCUCCACCAAGUGGCCUCUGGGUGAUGGGGAAGCUUGUCCUCUGCUUUGUCACACACAAAACUCUAAAAGUCAGCAUCCCAACGCAUCGGCCUGGAGAGCCCGUCCAGGAGGAUUUAUGUGGAAUCUGGCUUUUCUGAUAGCAUCGACGUUCCUUCCCGUGCCUUCUGAGUCUGUUUCUCUUAAUUUGACUGUGGUCUCUGCUCUUCGCUGGACUCAGGGAGAUGUCACAAAUUCUGCACCAGAAUCUCACAAAUCACAAAGAACUUACUCAUGUAACGAAACACCACCUGUUUCCCAGUAACUAUGGAAAUAAAAAAAAAUUAAUAAUAAAAAAUUUAAAAAAUAAAA
rnacentral:lncRNA from 1 species